rnacentral:rRNA from 1 species
AACGAACGCUGGCGGCAUGCCUAACACAUGCAAGUCGAACGGGAUCCAUCCUUCGGGAUGGUGAGAGUGGCGGACGGGUGAGUAACGCGUGGGAACCUGCCCAGUGGUGGGGGAUAACUGCGGGAAACUGCAGCUAAUACCGCAUGAGCCCGAGAGGGGAAAGAUUUAUCGCCAUUGGAGGGGCCCGCGUUCGAUUAGGUAGUUGGUGGGGUAAUGGCCUACCAAGCCGACGAUCGAUAGCUGGUCUGAGAGGAUGAUCAGCCACACUGGGACUGAGAUACGGCCCAGACUCCUACGGGAGGCAGCAGUGGGGAAUAUUGGACAAUGGGGGCAACCCUGAUCCAGCAAUGCCGCGUGAGUGAUGAAGGCCUUCGGGUUGUAAAGCUCUUUUGCCAGGGACGAUGAUGACGGUACCUGGAGAAUAAGCCCCGGCUAACUUCGUGCCAGCCGCCGCAGUAAGAC